rnacentral:lncRNA from 1 species
UUCACUCCCUCUAUUGCCUCUCCAGGCCCAGACUUCACCCUCAGGUCACCCUCACCUGGACUUUGGGGUGCCCCACACCCCGCCCCAGGCCCUGGCCUCUGGAAUAUUUGGAAACUUGAACGGGGCCUGAGGCUUAAGCUCACAUCUGUCUGGAGCCUCAACUUUCUCCUCUGUAAAAUGGGCUGACACUGAAAGAACCUUGCAGAAUCUCAGCAACGUCACAGUGGACAUUGUUAGCACAGCCAGCGGGCUCCUGCUGGGCUGAGUUUGUGGGUAACCCAAGCCUCGGCAGGUACAGUUCCUCCCUCAGGGCCCAGGACACAGAGAGCAUACAAUAGACAUUAGCUGCUGUGGUCUCUUGAUUUCAAGCCCAGUGCAGAUGCAUCUGACUUAUGAAACUUCAGUGACACCUGCUCUGUGCCAGACACCGAAGAUGGAGCAGUGAACAGCGCUGACCCAGCCUGUCCUCCUGUUGCCUGCAGGCCAGAUGGAGUCUCGCUUGUCACCAGGCUGGAGUACAGUGGCGUGAUCUCAGCUCACUGCAACCUCCGCCUCCCAGGUUCAAGCGAUUCUCCUGCCUCAGCCUCCCAAGUAGCUUGGAUUACAGAUAAGCAAGGUCUCGCUGUGUUACCCGGGCUGGAGUGCAGUGGCUACUUACAGACAUGAUCAUAGCAUACUGCAGCCUCGAACUCCUGGACUAAAGCAGUUCUCCUGCCUCAGCCUCCAGAGCAGCUGGGACUGCAGACAUGCACCACAGAGCCCAGCCUGAGUCAUUUUGAUUCUGUAACUGGUGUCCUCUCGGCGGGCUGGCUCACACCCUCCACCACCAGCUGGAGAUGGAAGGAGGAUGCUCACUGUUCAUUCCUCAUGCAGGCCAUCGAUGGAAAUGUCAGACAGUGCGAGUCCACA